rnacentral:lncRNA from 1 species
AACGCCUUAGAAGCAAAUUCUUAAGCAAACUUCCUUGUAGUUCAAGAUAACUCUGGAUCGGUAAAAGUCGAAGAUCAAGGAGAAAGAUUUGCAUCUUUGUAUGGUAUGGCUCCAACCCCAAGUGCCAAGCCUAGAGGCUCGGCUUCCCAGAUACUUCUCUUAUUUCCAUCUAUAUAUUAUUAUUAUUAUUAUUAUUUGUUCUUGCUUUUUUAAAAAAAUCUUCCAAAACUCUUUUCUCUAUUUUCUCUUCAUUUUUCAAAGGCUUCUUUCGGUUUAAUGCAAAUUUAAGUAGCUUGGCCAACUGUGAGGAAAUGGUUUUUCGAGACUCU